rnacentral:rRNA from 1 species
GUGGGGAAUAUUGGACAAUGGGCGCAAGCCUGAUCCAGCAAUACCGCGUGUGUGAAGAAGGCCUUCGGGUUGUAAAGCACUUUUAUCGAGGAAGAAGGUUGUGGGUUAAUAGCUCACUCACUUGACGGUACUCGAAGAAUAAGCACCGGCUAACUCUGUGCCAGCAGCCGCGGUAAGACAGAGGGUGCAAGCGUUAAUCGGAAUUACUGGGCGUAAAGGGCUCGUAGGCGGUUUAUUAAGUCAGAUGUGAAAGACCCGGGCUCAACCUGGGGGUGUCAUUUGAAACUGGUAGACUAGAGUGAGGCAGAGGAAAGUGGAAUUUCCGGUGUAGCGGUGAAAUGCGUAGAUAUCGGAAGGAACAUCAGUGGCGAAGGCGACUUUCUGGACCUUAACUGACGCUGAGGAGCGAAAGCGUGGGUAGCAAACAGG